UGGGGAAUUUUGCGCAAUGGACGAAAGUCUGACGCAGCAACGCCGCGUGGGUGAUGAAGGUCUUCGGAUUGUAAAACCCUGUCGUCGAGGACGAAGGUGGGGUCGUUAAUAGCGAUCUUGCUUGACGGUACUCGGAGAGGAAGCCCCGGCUAACUCUGUGCCAGCAGCCGCGGUAAUACAGAGGGGGCAAGCGUUAUUCGGAAUUAUUGGGCGUAAAGGGCGCGUAGGCGGUUUCUUAAGUCGGAUGUGCAAUCCCCGGGCUCAACCUGGGAACUGCAUCCGAGACUGGGAGGCUAGAGUACUGGAGAGGUUGGUGGAAUUCCACGUGUAGCGGUGAAAUGCGUAGAGAUGUGGAGGAACACCAGUGGCGAAGGCGGCCAACUGGACAGUAACUGACGCU
rnacentral:rRNA from 1 species